rnacentral:rRNA from 1 species
GGGCGAAAGCCUGACGGAGCAACGCCGCGUGAGUGAAGAAGGUUUUAGGAUCGUAAAACUCUGUUAUUAGGGAAGAACAAACGUGUAAGUAACUGUGCACGUCUUGACGGUACCUAAUCAGAAAGCCACGGCUAACUACGUGCCAGCAGCCGCGGUAAUACGUAGGUGGCAAGCGUUAUCCGGAAUUAUUGGGCGUAAAGCGCGCGUAGGCGGUUUUUUAAGUCUGAUGUGAAAGCCCACGGCUCAACCGUGGAGGGUCAUUGGAAACUGGAAAACUUGAGUGCAGAAGAGGAAAGUGGAAUUCCAUGUGUAGCGGUGAAAUGCGCAGAGAUAUGGAGGAACACCAGUGGCGAAGGCGACUUUUUGGUCUGUAACUGACGCUGAUGUGCGAAAGCGUGGGGAUCAAACAGGAUUAGAUACCCUGGUAGUCCACGCCGUAAACGAUGAGUGCUAAGUGUUAGGGGGUUUCCGCCCCUUAGUGCUGCAGCUAACGCAUUAAGCACUCCGCCUGGGGAGUACGACCGCAAGGUUGAAACUCAAAGGAAUUGACGGGGACCCGCACAAGCGGUGGAGCAUGUGGUUUA